GUAAUCCAUCCGCCUCAGCCUCCCAAAGUGCUGGGAUUACAGGCGUGAGUCACUGUGCCCAGCCUUUUUUAACUUUUUUUUUUGGGGGGGAGGCGGAGGGAGGCUGUUUUUUAAGGAGUAAGGCUUAUGUAGAGAAAUGCAGGCUGAGUGGGUGCUGGUGGGUCAGGCAAAGGGACCCAUAUGCGCCCAGGGCCUGAGUGCAGGAGUGCAGGACGGGGCUGAGAGGCACGGAUGAGCCAGGAAGGAUAGAGCCCUGAGGUCACGCCAGCAUGGCCCUGACUGAUGGGAAGAAAGGGCAGGAAGCCUGCUCCGGUCCCUGGCAGUUGCAUUUCCUCUAUCAUUCUGUACUUUAUGCCAUUUGUAGCUAAGGCUAAAGUUAGCCUUGUCAGUAGGAAUCUUUUUAUAGGAAAAGCUUAACAGAGAGAAAAAGAGAAUUCGCUGCCCUAAGUGGAAGCAGCUGCUGGGAGCUCUGGCAGCUAGGCUGGCUCUGGUGGCUUGCUAAGGACAAGAGCCAGGAGUCCAGGGCUUCUUUACCACAGCUCACCUGAAGCUCCUGCUGGAAGAGGGGUCUUUAGAAACAGAAAUAAUCUGAAAAUAAACACCUCUCUGAGCUUCUAGCAGAUAGGCCCUACUGCAGUGUAAUCUUGGAGUCCCAGUCCCCUGAUGAGGCCCUGGCUGGUCUGUGCUCCCCGGGGUUCCUGGGCUGGCAAGGUAGCCCGGCGGUGUGAUGCCAGGGCCCCAGGCUUCUCCCCUGCUGGGCUGCAGCUCCAAGGGUGAGCAGCGUCUGGUCGGGGGUGUUCAGUGAGGGCAGGCCUGCUGCUGGGGCCAGGGUGGCGCAGGGGCAAGUGAUGCAGAGACCCUUCUGUGAAUCACCUGAUGAAGCGACCAUCCCACCCAUCCCAUGCACGUCCCAAAGGCCUCGACUGUGACCGGGGAGCCUCCCUGCUGAUGCACUGAUCUCAGUGGGAAGCCUGAGGGCUGAGGGCUGCUUCCUCACCAUUUGGCUUUCAUCUUCCUUCUUCUCAGCUGGCUUGUCUGACUGGGAGGCUGCUUUUCUCCUAGGCAUAGACAAGGGGAAGAUACAGAUCAGCCUCUCAGGUUCUCCCACUGUCCCAGAACUCUUCUGCCUCCUCCCUGCCAGACUCACCCCAGUCUUCAGGUAAACCUGUGCUGGAAAAUGAUGGCGUGAAGGAGGAGGCUUGUCCAGGCCCAGUCUGGUGAGGAGCCAGGCCCGGGUGAGUGUCCAGGCCCUCUGUGUGCUCAUGGCCUGGGAUAUGAAACUGGCCUAGGCGGAGAGGGAGUCCUCAUCCUUCGGCGAGCCCUCCCGGCUCUCUCAUCCAUGCAGCCAUGUGCCUCUGUGUGACCACUGUCAGCCCUGCACACCUGGACUUACUAUCACAGGAAAUUGCUCAGAAGCCUGCCUCCUGUCUUGGCGAUUUACAUACGCCCAGGCCCAGUGGAGGCUUGGGAGAAGCCCAUGCUGCAGAUCCACCUUGCUGCUCUCUGACACAUGUGGAGCCUCCCUUGCCUGCCGUCUGUGAUGCAUACAAAGAAGCCCUUGGCAGGAAAUCCAGGCUGUGCCCCUGCCAUGAAGCACCACACCAGCUGCCUGCACCUGUGGGCCUCUGUCAUCUUGCUUCAUCCUCAUGGAGCCAUGGGAAGGUUAUGAGAGGAACUAGGGCUGCAGUGUGAAAACUCUGGGCAUACACAGAGUUCUCACUUGUGUCAGCCAAUUGGAAGGCAGCCGGGAGGGCCAGGAGAGGGCAACAAAGCGGCGGGGGGGUGGGGGCGGGGUUACCAAGGGAGCAGGGCCCCUGGCGCAGCUUUCCGUAUUCUGGCUGGUGAGGCCUGCUCCUGUGCCCUCUGGUGCCUCAGUGAGCCAUGACAUUGGUAGUCCAAAGUGAGCACAUUCCUGAUGCCAAGUCAUAUUUAAAAAUAAAAUCCAAGCUUUGCAUCUCUUUUGAGAAA